GAUGAACGCUGGCGGCGUGCCUAAUACAUGCAAGUCGAGCGAACGGACGAGAAGCUUGCUUUUCUGAUGUUAGCGGCGGACGGGUGAGUAACACGUGGAUAACCUACCUAUAAGACUGGGAUAACUUCGGGAAACCGGAGCUAAUACCGGAUAAUAUUUUGAACCGCAUGGUUCAAAAGUGAAAGACGGUCUUGCUGUCACUUAUAGAUGGAUCCGCGCUGCAUUAGCUAGUUGGUAAGGUAACGGCUUACCAAGGCAACGAUGCAUAGCCGACCUGAGAGGGUGAUCGGCCACACUGGAACUGAGACACGGUCCAGACUCCUACGGGAGGCAGCAGUAGGGAAUCUUCCGCAAUGGGCGAAAGCCUGACGGAGCAACGCCGCGUGAGUGAUGAAGGUCUUCGGAUCGUAAAACUCUGUUAUUAGGGAAGAACAUAUGUGUAAGUAACUGUGCACAUCUUGACGGUACCUAAUCAGAAAGCCACGGCUAACUACGUGCCAGCAGCCGCGGUAAUACGUAGGUGGCAAGCGUUAUCCGGAAUUAUUGGGCGUAAAGCGCGCGUAGGCGGUUUUUUAAGUCUGAUGUGAAAGCCCACGGCUCAACCGUGGAGGGUCAUUGGAAACUGGAAAACUUGAGUGCAGAAGAGGAAAGUGGAAUUCCAUGUGUAGCGGUGAAAUGCGCAGAGAUGUGGAGGAACACCAGUGGCGAAGGCAACUUUCUGGUCUGUAACUGACGCUGAUGUGCGAGAGCGUGGGGAUCAAACAGGAUUAGAUACCCUGGUAGUCCACGCCGUAAACGAUGAGUGCUAAGUGUUAGGGGGUUUCCGCCCCUUAGUGCUGCAGCUAACGCAUUAAGCACUCCGCCUGGGGAGUACGACCGCAAGGUUGAAACUCAAAGGAAUUGACGGGGGCCCGCACAAGCGGUGGAGCAUGUGGUUUAAUUCGAAGCAACGCGAAGAACCUUACCAAAUCUUGACAUCCUUUGACAACUCUAGAGAUAGAGCCUUCCCCUUCGGGGGACAAAGUGACAGGUGGUGCAUGGUUGUCGUCAGCUCGUGUCGUGAGAUGUUGGGUUAAGUCCCGCAACGAGCGCAACCCUUAAGCUUAGUUGCCAUCAUUAAGUUGGGCACUCUAAGUUGACUGCCGGUGACAAACCGGAGGAAGGUGGGGAUGACGUCAAAUCAUCAUGCCCCUUAUGAUUUGGGCUACACACGUGCUACAAUGGACAAUACAAAGGGCAGCGAAACCGCGAGGUCAAGCAAAUCCCAUAAAGUUGUUCUCAGUUCGGAUUGUAGUCAGCAACUCGACUACAUGAAGCUGGAAUCGCUAGUAAUCGUAGAUCAGCAUGCUACGGUGAAUACGUUCCCGGGUCU
rnacentral:rRNA from 1 species